rnacentral:rRNA from 1 species
UCGGCCCGAGUUGUAAUUUGCAGAGGAUGUUUCUGGCGCGGUGCCUUCCGAGUUCCCUGGAACGGGACGCCACAGAGGGUGAGAGCCCCGUAUGGUUGGACACCAAGCCUGUGUGAAACUCCUUCAACGAGUCGAGUAGUUUGGGAAUGCUGCUCUAAAUGGGAGGUAAAUCUCUUCUAAAGCUAAAUACCGGCCAGAGACCGAUAGCGCACAAGUAGAGUGAUCGAAAGAUGAAAAGCACCUUGAAAAGGGGGUUAAAUAGUACGUGAAAUUGUUGAAAGGGAAGCACUUAUGACCAGACUUGGGCCGGGCGGCUCAUCAGGGGUUCUCCCCUGUGCACUCCGCCCGGCACAGGCCAGCAUCGGUUCUCGUGGGGGGAUAAGACCGUCAGGAACGUAGCACCCUCCGGGGUGUGUUAUAGCCUGGCGGACGAUACCCCCGUGGGGACCGAGGUCCGCGCUCCGCAAGGAUGCUGGCGUAAUGGUCAUCAGUGACCCGUCUUGAAACACGGACCAAGGAGUCGUCCAUUAGAGCGAGCGUUUGGGUGUAAAACCCGCACGCGUAAUGAAAGUGAACGCAGGUGAGAGCUUCGGCGCAUCAUCGACCGAUCCUGAUGUUCUCGGAAGGAUUUGAGUAAGAGUUUUAACGGACGGACCCGAAAGACAGUGAACUAUGCUUGUAUAGGGUGAAGCCAGAGGAAACU